AGAUUGAACGCUGGCGGCAUGCCUUACACAUGCAAGUCGAACGGCAGCACGGGAGCAAUCCUGGUGGCGAGUGGCGAACGGGUGAGUAAUAUAUCGGAACGUGCCCAGUCGUGGGGGAUAACGUAGAGAAAUUUACGCUAAUACCGCAUACGAUCU
rnacentral:rRNA from 1 species